UACGUAGGGUGCGAGCGUUAAUCGGAAUUACUGGGCGUAAAGCGUGCGCAGGCGGUGAUGUAAGACAGAUGUGAAAUCCCCGGGCUCAACCUGGGAACUGCAUUUGUGACUGCAUCGCUGGAGUGCGGCGGAGGGGGAUGGAAUUCCGCGUGUAGCAGUGAAAUGCGUAGAUAUGCGGAGGAACACCGAUGGCGAAGGCAAUCCCCUGGGCCUGCACUGACGCUCAUGCACGAAAGCGUGGGGAGCAAACAGG
rnacentral:rRNA from 1 species